rnacentral:misc_RNA from 1 species
UACCCUUGACAUGUCCGAGAGCCUGGAGAGAUCCAGGUGUGCCCGAAAGGGAAUCGGAACACAGGUGCUGCAUGGCUGUCGUCAGCUCGUGUCGUGAGAUGUUGGGUUAAGUCCCGCAACGAGCGCAACCCUUGUCAUUAGUUGCUACAUUCAGUUGGGCACUCUAAUGAGACUGCCGGUGACAAACCGGAGGAAGGUGGGGAUGACGUAGCUAAGCCUUC